rnacentral:rRNA from 1 species
UCACGUAGGGGUGCGAAGCGUUGUCCGGAAUUAUUGGGCGUAAAGCGCGCGCAGGCGGUUUCUUAAGUCUGAUGUGAAAGCCCACGGCUCAACCGUGGAGGGUCAUUGGAAACUGGGGAACUUGAGUGCAGAAGAGAAAAGCGGAAUUCCACGUGUAGCGGUGAAAUGCGUAGAGAUGUGGAGGAACACCAGUGGCGAAGGCGGCUUUUUGGUCUGUAACUGACGCUGAGGCGCGAAAGCGUGGGAGCAACAGG